GUGUCAGCAGCCGCGGUAAGACAGAGGUGCCAAGCGUUAGGCGGAAUCACUGGGCUUAAAGCGUGUGUAGGUGGAAGCGUAAGUACCUUGUGAAAUCCCACGGCUCAACCGUGGAACUGCUUGGUAUACUGCGUUUCUUGAGCCAACUAGGGGCUAUCGGAACAAGUGGUGGAGCGGUGAAAUGCGUAGAUAUCACUUGGAACGCCAAUGGUGAAAACAGAUAGCUGGGGUUGUGCUGACACUGAGACACGAAAGCCAGGGGAGCAAACGGGAUUAGAUACCCCGGUAGUCC
rnacentral:rRNA from 1 species